rnacentral:lncRNA from 1 species
UAUGGGCAUUGUUGGGUUGAUGAUGAUGAUGAUGUUUUUGGUUCAAUCAUGUAUAAAUCUUCACAAUCACCAGAAUUAAUGAUCAUCAAUAACCAUUCUUGAAGAAGGGUAUGCAUAUUCUUCUUCCAGCUCUACUUCUGCACCAAACUAUAUCAGCAAGAAUAUUCAAAUCAACGCCGACUAAACCAUAAAUCGUCGCUCUGCUCCUCCAUCUUCACCGAAGAUUUCUUCAAUUCGACGGUAAAUCACUCUAAUCUCUUUGAUCUGUAAAGUUUUGAUCCUAUCUGUUCUCUCUCUCUCUCUCUCUCUCUCUCUAUCAAGUUGAGCGGUUGAUGGUGGCAGGUUGUGAUGGUGGAUGUGGUGGUGGUGGUUGGUGAUUUAGGUUCUUUGGGAUUAGGGUUUCGGUGAAGGUGGUGAUGAUGGAGACGGUUGGGGGUUGUGAUGGUGGAUGGGGUGGUGGGUUUUAAUGGUGGUGGUUGGGCUUAGGGUUCCGGUGGGGGUUGUGAUGGUGGAUGGGGUGGUUGGGGUUAGGGUUCCGGUGGGGGUGGUGACUAGUGACGGUGGAGACGGUGGCGCCCGUUGCUUCAGGAUCUGUCGUUUCAACGUUUUUCUCAAGUUCUAUUAACAAAUUUGCUGCAUUUUGUUUUUCUCUGGUUUGUGAAACAAUGGAUUUGGGUGCAAAAUCAGUGGAUGAAGUGUUGGAAGAGAUAAUGAGGAUUCAUAAAUCGCCUUUUCUAUGUUGUUUGAUUUGAUUUCUUAGUGUAACCUUUCCCGUAAAUCAAUAGAAUCACAUCUUCUUUCUUCCUAAUUUGAUUAUCACUGUUACUUCAAUUUGAGAUCACUUCCUUGUGGUGGUGGUGUGUUGAUGGAGAUGGUAGGAGACAGAGAAUCGAUGUGGUGGUGGGUUAAUGGUGGUGGUGAUAAGUUUUUAAAAUAUUUUGUUUUAGUUUUUAAAAUAAUAUUAAAUAAAUGGCUAAAAAGACUAAAAUACCCUUGUGUAAUCUGAUUUAACCAAAAAAUCUAACUGGGUUUGGGCCGUUUGGCGUAAAGGACAUAACGUGCAAAGAUUUUAGAACAUUAAGUACAAAACUUGUCAACUUUUGCGCUAAAGGACAGCGCCUGCAAUUUGAUGUAAACGUAAAGGACAAAACUUAUAAUUUACUCUUAUUUUAAGCCAAGUAAAUAUAUGAAAAGUAUCCCUAACCUGCAGAACUCUGUAUAUGACUCUCCGUGCUUCACCGUAGUUCCUUUGUGAGUAACUACUAGCAAGAAUCGCCUAUAACAGAAUAUUUAAGGUUUAUUUUGGUAACUUGAUAACCAUGAGAGCCCGUCACCAGAAAAGUCAGGGGCCCCACCAAUACCCUGCUAACCAAUGGGACCAGGUAAAAGAUAACUAAUUACCUGUCCUGCAAGUGCUAAAGCAUCCGUUAGCAACGACAAAGCCAACCACACUUCCAAGCAGAUCUGGUGACCCGCCAUUGGCACAGACCCUUCCCGUGCUGCCACUGAUGUAGAUAGAGUCAUAGUCACAAGUACAGCAAAGCUUCUAGACAUUAAAAGCCCCCUGCAAAAUACCAUGCUUGUAUGUAUGAAUGAGAAAAUGAAGUAUUAUAAUCACUUGCUUAUAUAUUGUUACGAAAACAUACCUGAUUUUAAAUAUUGAGCAACUUUUUCACCAUCUAUAUUUGGAGUAACAAGUACUACUUCUUCAUUUAACUUCCACAGUAGGAUGAAGGCGGUCAGAUAUCUACUCAUAAGUUCAAAUUCAAUUGUAAGAAAAGUAAAAGAUUAUUAUACAGUGAAGUUACAAGAGGAUGAUGACAGCAUGACGUACUCGGAAAUUACCGUCGCAAUUGCAGCACCACUAACAC